GCCGAGGGGCGUCGCGAGCCUCGGACACUGUCCACCGGGGAGCCAGUCAUGGAUGCUGUCCCUGAGGGAGAGGGGUGUCCGCGGGGACGACUUCCAUGGGGUGAUUCCCCCCGAAAUACACGCCGGGGAGACGGUGUUUUCCCAUCCAGGCCAGUGACACCGCCCUCCCGCGCGGAAGGGGACGCGAUGCGGGUCUGCGUGUGGCCCUGAUCGGAGGACUUGCCUCCCUUCUGACGGCGGCCCUGAUCCCUCUCUGCCAACAGUAACCAGUGAUGCUGGGCUCUUCCUGUUUAAAAACCCGUCUCUACUGCCCCACCCAGGACGCCUCUGUCUCCAGCAGCCUGAAGGAUGCUUGGGGGUCUCCGCUCACUUGUAAACAAAGGGAGAUGAAGCGCUCAGAGCCCAAGAAAGGGAGAUGAAGCUCUCAGAGCCCAAGAAAGGCCACCCAAACCUUUUCAAGGGCGUCAUCCGGCGCUUUCUCAGGAGCCAGAAGAAAACAUCAAUGACAACAAAAACUGAAAAUGGAAAACCAGUCCUACAAGUUUUGCAGUAAACGGUAAGUCAGAAUAUCAAGUACAAAUAAUAAUACUUUUAUGAUGAAUUACUAACCCGAAGAACCCAUAGGGCUUGGA